rnacentral:rRNA from 1 species
CCCUUAGAUGUCCUGGGCCGCACGCGUGCUACACUGACGCCUACAGCGAGUACUUCCCAGCCCCGAGAGGUGGCUGGUAAUCAGCAAUAGGCGUCGUGAUGGGGAUAGAUCUUUGGAAUUAUGGAUCUUGAACGAGGAAUGCCUAGUAAGCGCAGGUCAUUAGCCUGCGCUGAUUAAGUCCCUGCCCUUUGUACACACCGCCCGUCGCUCCUACCGAUUUCGAGUGGUCCGGUGAAUCUUUCGGACUGCGCGCGGCCUCGUGCCGUGUCGCGGAAAGUCAGGUAAACCGUAUCACUUAGAGGAAGGAGAAGUCGUAACA